rnacentral:rRNA from 1 species
CAGUAGUCACGAGUUUUGAUCCUGGCUCAGAACGAACGCUGGCGGCAGGCCUAAAACAUGCAAGUCGAACGCUCUAGCAAUAGAGAGUGGCGCACGGGUGAGUAACGCGUGGGAAUGUGCCCCUUAGUACGGGACAACGUUGGGAAACUGACGCUAAUACCGUAUAAUAUCUCAGGAUCAAAGAUUUAUCGCUGAGGGAGCAGCCCGCGUCUGAUUAGCUAGUUGGUGAGGUAAUGGCUCACCAAGGCUACGAUCAGUAGCAGGUCUGAGAGGAUGAUCUGCCACACUGGGACUGAGACACGGCCCAGACUCCUACGGGAGGCAGCAGUUAGGAAUAUUGCGCAAUGGGCGAAAGCCUGACGCAGCGACGCCGCGUGGGGGAUGAAGGUUUUCGGAUUGUAAACCCUUUCAUGAGGAAAGAUAAAGUGGGUAACCACUUAGACGGUACCUCAACGAAGAAGCCACGGCUAACUUCGUG